rnacentral:tRNA from 2 species
GGAGGCGUCGGAUAGAGGUUUAUUCCACCUGUCUUGAAAACAGGAGUGUCGCAAGGCACCGUGAGUUCGAAUCUCACCGCCUCCGCCC